GGAAAGGAAGCUCUAUUGUUUCCAAGAGCCCUGUCUGGAGGAGUCAUAAAAAUUUAGACAUUUCUUCCUCUGAUGUCCAUUCACCGUGAUUGACUGAGGAAGUAGAGGAGUCUUUGAGGGUAGCUCCCAGGACAUUUUAUGGGUCUUUGUAAUGUCAUUCACUGAUGCCCCUACACUGGGUGACUCUUCCUAACAUCAUCAUGUUCUUCUGAUUCUCCCAGUAGCACAUGCGGUAGUCAUUUAGGGAGAACCUUCUGAGCUACAGCAAA
rnacentral:lncRNA from 1 species